CUUAAGGGGGAAAAUGCUGAUCCAGAGCAAUGGCUGACAGUGUUCCGGAUUAAGUGAGAGCCUAUUCAUCCUCUAAACAUGUACUGUAAUAUAAUUUAUCUUAAAACUCCAUGGAGAAGAGACUGUUAUCAAACUGAGGUUUAUGAAGGAUUACGUCUCUUGCCCAAGGCCAUAUAUGGCCUUCAACAUUUGGAUUUAAAACAGUGGCAGGGUAGAGAUUAAAACCCAAGUCAAAGCCCACACUCUUUGCCACUAUCCUGUACACAUCUUGGGCCGCUGCUAGACACACCGGAACCACCUGUUGGAUAUGCCAGAAACAUCUGCUGGAUACGCUGAAACCACCUGCCAAAUAUGCCAGAAUCAGGUCCCGGACAUGGUGGAAACACCUGCCAGACACGUCCAAAUCACCUGUCAGAUACGCCAAAACCAUGUGCCACACAUGCCGGAACCACCUCGUGGACACAUCUGCUGGAUACUCCAGAAACAGGAAAACCACAGGACGGAACCAGGUGCCAGACAAGCGUGAAGCCCCUUCCAGACUAGCCUGAACCACUUGCUGGACCAGCCUGAAUCACUUUAUGGACAUUCCAGAACCACAUGCCCAGCACGCUAAAACCGAGUGACUGACACGCCAGAAUCCCCUGCUGAGCACACCUGAACCGGUCACUGUGAAACCACCUGCCGGAUACACCAGAACCAGGUGCCGGACAUGCCAGAACCACCUGCCAGAUACACCAGACACAGGUGUUGCACAUGCUGAAACCAGGUUCCCAACAUGACUGAACCACCUGCCAGACACGUUGGAGCCACCUGCCGGAUAUGCCAAAAAACAGCUGUUGCACAUGCUGGAACCAGGUGCUGGACACACCUGAACCACCUGCUGGACAAGCUUCAACCACCUGCUAGACACAAGGGACCCACUUGCCGGACACGCCGUCAUCACCUUCAGGAAACGCCAGAACCAUCAAGUGAACAUGCCGGAAGCACCAGCCGAACAUGCCAGAGCCAGGUGCUUGACACGCCAUAUCUGCCUGCCAGACACACUGAAAUCACCUGCCAGAUAUGCCAGAACCAGGUCCCGGAUACGCCAGAACCAACUUCCAGGCAAGCCAGAAAAAUCUGCCGGACACGCCGGAACCACCCCUCAGAGUGGCCAAAACCACGAAAGUGAAAUGACGGGAUCAUGUCCUGGGCAUGUUGUAGCCACAUGUCAGACACGCUGGAAUCAACCGCUGGACAUGCUGGAACCAACUGCUGGACACCCCGGAAGCACCCACCGCACAUGUCAGAACCACCUUCUGGACAUACUGGAAACUCAUGCCAGACAACAGGAACCCCCUGCCUGACAAGCUGGAACCACCUGAA
rnacentral:lncRNA from 1 species